CCCUGGCAGUCAGAGGCGAUGAAGGGCGUACUAAUCUGCGAUAAGCGCCGGUAAGGUGAUAUGAACCGUUAUAACCGGCGAUACCCGAAUGGGGAAACCCAGUGUGAUUCGUCACACUAUCAUUAACUGAAUCCAUAGGUUAAUGAGGCGAACCGGGGGAACUGAAACAUCUAAGUACCCCGAGGAAAAGAAAUCAACCGAGAUUCCCCCAGUAGCGGCGAGCGAACGGGGAGGAGCCCAGAGCCUGAAUCAGCAUGUGUGUUAGUGGAAGCGUCUGGAAAGGCGCGCGAUACAGGGUGACAGCCCCGUACACAAAAGCGCAUGUGCUGUGAGCUCGAUGAGUAGGGCGGGACACGUGGUAUCCUGUCUGAAUAUGGGGGGACCAUCCUCCAAGGCUAAAUACUCCUGACUGACCGAUAGUGAACCAGUACCGUGAGGGAAAGGCGAAAAGAACCCCGGCGAGGGGAGUGAAAAAGAACCUGAAACCGU
rnacentral:rRNA from 2 species